CUUGCAUUUCUUGUUCUGCGAUGUUUUCUACGCGCGACGAUGAAAUUUCUCCACGCAGUACGCGUCUCUACUUAGAACUAUUUUCAGCGUGACAGUUUGUGACACACACUUAUGAGAACGAAUGCAAUAAGCUAGGUCUUCGCUUGUACAUUAGUGUGCAAAAAAGCUUUUAUUUGCGCAGGUGCCCAUGCUGCGAGUGCAGUCGUAACGCUUUGACGUUGGAUCCGAGCCCAUGGAGAAAGUUGGAGCUGUAGAGCUGUAUGUUUUUGGACAAAGUCAUCAAUUCCAUUGCUCUUCCUAUGCCAAGUGGCCAG
rnacentral:lncRNA from 1 species